rnacentral:lncRNA from 10 species
CUCUUAUUGAGUGUGGGCAAAAGCUCACACUCAGUCCCAGGAUUAAGUUACUAAUCACUUGAUGUUGUCUUAAUUGAAAGGCAGAUUACCCAGACUAGUCCCUUCUGCCUUCUGGGCAGGUCACAUCUGAAAGAUUAUCCUCUUUGAAUCAGUUUGAAUGUUCUAGUGACCAGGCCACACAGUUUCUCUUGACAUUUAAAAAUAAAGCUUCCAGUCUUGUCACUAAUGGAUUUGGGGUCCAGUACCCUUAAAAUCACCUCAGAGCUGCCUGAAUCCAUAGACUACUUGCAGAAUCACUGGUUUUACUUGGAUCAAGCCAUCUGAGAAGAAAAAAGCAUUGGAAAUGGAGGAGACUGUCAAGGACAAUAAUAAAUGAUGUUUGGCUGAAAUAAAAACUCAAAGCCCCCACAAUAUUGAACCACCAUUCCAGACCCAGCCAAGGUUUGGAACAUAAAGUGAGCUGAAUGAAUCAGCCUGCAGGCAACCCAGAGAAAGUAAUUGUUCAUCCUAGCAGCACGGCUGCUUUUCUGCUUAGCAUCUGAACAAGUUAAUUUGGAAACACAGCCUUCUGGAAAGAAAUGGCGCUUCUCUCAGCAUCCCAUGGAUUCAUGAGCUUGACCAGUCUGUAUUUGACCUUCCAUCACCAAUUAAUUAAAAAACAAAAGCAG